GGCAAGAUGGCCGAGCGGUCUAAGGCGCCAGGUUCAGGUCCUGGUCCAGCAAUGGGCGUGGGUUCGAAUCCCACUCUUGUCA
rnacentral:tRNA from 4 species